GGUCUGUGUAUAUGGCAUUUUCACUUAAUUUUGCUUGUAUUUUCAAUAAAUCUUGAUCAUUUAUAUUCAUAAUUAUUAGUAGUAAUCGGCGGAGACAAGCCAAAUGGAUAGCCUUACUAAACUAAAGCCUGGUCGUGAAGGUAAUGACCUUGUAAAUCAGAAGAAUCUAUAAUUAUGAUGAUGCUAUGUAAGUUGGGCCACUGAAAUGGGAGUGUUAUAUGAUAAAUGCAGGUUUGGAAUUAAAUGCUUUGUGCAUAAUAUUGGUUAGUUAUAGGAGACUUUGGCAUGGAGUGAUCAUUUUGUUGGUAUGUUAGCGUUUUCGUUUAUGGCCUUGAAGAAGGUUAUAGCCUCUAGCAAAUAUAUGAGAAAGGUGAUCGAUAAAAGCAAUUUAUGAUUCGGUGACCUUCUUCUUCAGUGUCAUAGAGGAACUGCAUUGGAGGGUGAUGCGGGCUAUUAUUGUGUGAAACUUACUGGGUGCCUGGGCUGUAACUUCUUUUCCUCUCUUGGAGUGCUGAUGUAACAACUUGUAUAGGAGUUAAAACUCUGUGUUAGUAGAUGAUAGUGAACUCUUUGCAUUUAAAGGAGGCUUCUUUCUCAGGAUUGUUAUUACUUUUGGCCAUACAGUAAUGUAUUCAUACAUGGGGAAUAAUUCUCCUCUUCUUCUGUC